rnacentral:rRNA from 1 species
AGAGUUUGAUCAUGGCUCAGGACGAACGCUGGCGGUAUGCCUAACACGUGCAAGUCGAACGAGAUCAUUUUUUUGUUUACAAAAGAAUGAUUGCAGUGGCGGACGGGUGAGGAACACGUAAGAACUUACCUUUUGGCGGGGGAUAACAACGGGAAACUGUUGCUAAUACCCCAUAAUGCUGAGGAGCGAAAGGGAAACUGCCAAGAGAGAGGCUUGCGUCUGAUUAGCUAGUUGGAGGAGGUAAAUGCUCCCCAAGGCGACGAUCAGUAGCUGGUCUGAGAGGAUGAUCAGCCACACUGGGACUGAGACACGGCCCAGACUCCUACGGGAGGCAGCAGUGGGGAAUUUUCCACAAUGGGCGAAAGCCUGAUGGAGCAAUACCGCGUGAGGGAUGAAGGAUCGUGGUCUGUAAACCUCUUUUCUUAAGGAAGAAUAAAUGACGGUACUUAAGGAAUAAGCACCGGCUAACUCCGUGCCAGCAGCCGCGGUAAUAC